rnacentral:rRNA from 1 species
AAGAAGCCCGGGUAAACUACGUGCCAGCAGCCGCGGUAAGACGUAGGGGGCAAGCGUUGUUCGGAAUUACUGGGUGUAAAGGGUUCGUAGGCGGUGUGGCAAGUCGGGAGUGAAAUUUCUGGGCUUAACUCAGAAGCUGCUUCCGAAACUGCUGUGCUGGAGUGUGGGAGAGGCGCGUGGAAUUGCAGGUGUAGCGGUGAAAUGCGUAGAUAUCUGCAGGAACACCCGUGGCGAAAGCGGCGCGCUGGACCACUACUGACGCUGAGGAACGAAAGCUAGGGGAGCAAACAGGAUUAGAUACCCUGGUAGUCCUAGCCCUAAACGAUCAGGACUUGGGGUGCCACCCGUUCGGGUGUCGUCCCGGAGCUAACGCGUUAAGUCCUGCACCUGGGGAGUACGGUCGCAAGACUGAAACUCAAAGGAAUUGACGGGGGCCCGCACAAGCGGUGGAACAUGUGGUUCAAUUCGACGCUACGCGAGGAACCUUACCUGGGCUCGAAAUGCUUCUGACCAGCUGUAGAAAUACGGCCUUCCCGCAAGGGACAGGAGUAUAGGCGCUGCAUGGCUGUCGUCAGCUCGUGCCGUGAGGUGUUGGGUUAAGUCCCGCAACGAGCGCAACCCCUGCACGUAGUUGCCACUCGCAAGAGGGAACUCUACGUGGACUGCUCCGGAUAACGGAGAGGAAGGUGGGGAUGACGUCAAGUCCGCAUGGCCUUUAUGUCCAGGGCUACACACGUGUUACAAUGCAGGGCACAAACCGUUGCCAACCCGCGAGGGGGAGCUAAUCGGAAAAAACUCUGCUCAGUUCGGAUUGCAGUCUGCAACUCGACUGCAUGAAGCCGGAAUCGCUAGUAAUGGCGUAUCAGAUCGACGCCGUGAAUACGUUCCCGGGCCUUGUACACACCGCCCGUCACAUCACGAAAGUGAGCUGUACUAGAAGUCGCCGCGCUAACCGCAAGGAGGCAGGCGCCCAAGGUAUGACUCAUGAUUGGGGUGAAGUCGUAACAAGGUAGCCGUAGGAGAACCUGCGGCUGGAUCACCUCG